rnacentral:rRNA from 1 species
AUUGAACGCUGGCGGCAUGCCUUACACAUGCAAGUCGAACGGCAGCACGGGAGCAAUCCUGGUGGCGAGUGGCGAACGGGUGAGUAGUAUAUCGGAACGUGCCCAGACGUGGGGGAUAACGUAGCGAAAGCUACGCUAAUACCGCAUACGAUCUAUGGAUGAAAGCGGGGGAUCGCAAGACCUCGCGCGAUUGGAGCGGCCGAUAUCAGAUUAGGUAGUUUGUGAGGUAAAGGCUCACCAAGCCGACGAUCUGUAGCUGGUCUGAGAGGACGACCAGCCACACUGGGACUGAGACACGGCCCAGACUCCUACGGGAGGCAGCAGUGGGGAAUUUUGGACAAUGGGCGCAAGCCUGAUCCAGCAAUGCCGCGUGCAGGAUGAAGGCCUUCGGGUUGUAAACUGCUUUUGUACGGAGCGAAAAGGCUUCCACUAAUACUGGGGGCUCAUGACGGUACCGUAAGAAUAAGCACCGGCUAACUACGUGCCAGCCGCCGCGGUAAGAC